rnacentral:rRNA from 1 species
UACGGAGGGGGCUAGCGUUGUUCGGAAUUACUGGGCGUAAAGCGCACGUAGGCGGCUUUGUAAGUUAGAGGUGAAAGCCCGGGGCUCAACUCCGGAAUUGCCUUUAAGACUGCAUCGCUAGAAUUGUGGAGAGGUAAGUGGAAUUCCGAGUGUAGAGGUGAAAUUCGUAGAUAUUCGCAAGAACACCAGUGGCGAAGGCGGCUCACUGGCCCGAAACUGACGCUGAGGCACGAAAGCGUGGGGGAGCAAACAGG